CCUACGGGAGGCUGCAGUGAGGAAUAUUGGUCAAUGGGCGGGAGCCUGAACCAGCCAAGUCGCGUGAGGGAUGAAGGUUCUGUGGAUCGUAAACCUCUUUUAUAAGGGAAUAAAGUGUGGGACGUGUCCUCUUUUGUAUGUACCUUAUGAAUAAGGAUCGGCUAACUCCGUGCCAGCAGCCGCGGUAAUACGGAGGAUCCGAGCGUUAUCCGGAUUUAUUGGGUUUAAAGGGUGCGUAGGCGGCCUUUUAAGUCAGCGGUGAAAGGCUGUGGCUCAACCCUAGAAUUGCCGUUGAAACUGGGGGGCUGGAGUAUGUGUGAGGAAGGCGGAAUGCGUGGUGUAGCGGUGAAAUGCUUAGAUAUCACGCAGAACCCCGAUUGCGAAGGCAGCAUGCCAGGCCAUGACUGACGCUGAUGCACGAAAGCGUGGGGAUCAAACAGGAUUAGAUACCCCUGUAGUC
rnacentral:rRNA from 1 species